GUAGAAUUACUGUUGGGAAGUAACUAUGGCAUUAAGGUCUUCCAAGAAGCAGAUGCCAAGAUGGGCUCAAAUGUGCAAGAUAUUUAUGGAAAACCACCUAUGAAGGACAAAGGAACAGAGAACAAGAGCCUUCCCCCAUGUCUAAUACCUGUGAAAGGAGAGAGAGAAGGAAGAAUUUAGUAGGAAGAGCCUGAGGUUGCUGCUUAGUUCUGAGAAAGCCUCAGCGAGGCCGAUGGAGAGCCCUUGAGCUGAGGUUGCCCAUUAGACAAAUUCUGCAUCAGAUGAGGGAAGGAAUCAUAAUUGGCUAACAAGAGGAGAUACAUUUGACUAUGUUAAGAGAACUGGAGGUGCUGAUCAGAAACCCACAAAUAUCUGCCAGGCUGGCAACAGACCCUAAAGAGAGAGAUUAACAAAAAACAGUUGAGGAGCAAGCUAAAUUCCUACAGGCAAUAGUGGGACCAGAGCUCAUAGGCUGGCACCAAUAGUACAGUUUGGUCCCAAGGAGAAGCAGCAAGGCCAUGCAGGGAAUCACAUAAACAGAUCAGAAACUGAAGUUUGGCUUGCUGACGUGACUUGCUCAAGGUCACAUAGCUACGAAUUGUAGACCUAGAACUAAAAACAUCCUGGCUCCUUGUCUAGUUUUUAUUGCUCUAUCCCAGGUUGUCUAGCUUAACUAACUCUUGCUUCAUGGAGCUUGUAGGAAAGGAUGCCCUGCAAAUGCAGGACGUAAGCAUCUGGGGAAUAUAUCCAAUCAUUCUUGCA
rnacentral:lncRNA from 1 species